rnacentral:tRNA from 1 species
UGCAUCGGCCUGGAAUCGAACCCGGGCGGCCCGCGUGGCAGGCAAGCAUUCUACCACUGAACCACCGAUGG